UUGCCUUAAACUAAUGAGUAAGGAAAACAAAGUGAGCGGUGGGAACUGCUCACAACGCUGAGAAAAUCUUGUGCAAGAAUUUAUGGAGGCAUUAUAGGCUGGCUGAGAGUUGAUGCUGCUUACUUUGCAUAACUCUCUCACGCGAGCCUCCUAA
rfam:Picea glauca, whole genome shotgun sequence.